rnacentral:rRNA from 1 species
AGGUUUCAGUAGGUGAACCUGCGGAAGGAUCAUUA